rnacentral:rRNA from 1 species
CCUUAGGGUAGAAGCGGCAACGUUCACCCAGGGCCGGAAAGUUGUCCAAACUUGGUCAUUUAGAGGAAGUAAAAGUCGUAACAAGGUCUCCGUAGGUGAACCUGCGGAGGGAUC